rnacentral:rRNA from 1 species
GACGGAGGAUGCAAGUGUUAUCCGGAAUCACUGGGCGUAAAGCGUCUGUAGGUGGUUUGAUAAGUCAACUGUUAAAUCUUGGGGCUUAACCUCAAAAUCGCAGUCGAAACUAUUAGACUAGAGUAUAGUAGGGGUAAAGGGAAUUUCCAGUGGAGCGGUGAAAUGCGUAGAGAUUGGAAAGAACACCGAUGGCGAAGGCACUUUACUGGGCUAUUACUGACACUCAGAGACGAAAGCUAGGGUAGCAAAUGGGAUUAGAUACCCCAGUAGUCCUAGCCGUAAACAAUGGAUACUAGAUGUUGAACAGAUCGACCUGUGCAGUAUUAAAGCUAACGCGUUAAGUAUCCCGC